rnacentral:rRNA from 1 species
AUGGUGAGCAGCGGCGACCCCGGAGUAUUUGGCGAGGCAGGCAUCGGGCUGGAGAUCCGCCGCGUCCACGACUGGGUUCCCGAGGUCCAAUAUCCUUGGGGUUUGCUUGAUGAAGUGGUAUACAAAUACUAUGAUGGGGAAAAGAAUUGGGUGACAGUUAGUAAUGAUGAAGAGCUAGCUACCAUGUUUGUUAGGCAUAAAGAGAAAGAUAAUUUUCAUGUGAGGCUGCAAGUUGAUGUGCUUGAGCAGACAUUUGGACCUAGGAUGGUGGGUGCAACAUCUCGGGGAGAACCAAGUCGUCGUAAUGGCAUCUCUAGCCAGAACAGUUCAGUUGGUGCACGGCGACGUGGUGGCUCGACAAGUGUGGGCAACAACAGUAGGGCCCCCCUUGAAGUGGAGCCUGAUGGCUACAAUUCUUGGGUUGAUGAAGAGAAGCUAUAUUCUGAUGUUAUUUGGAAUUUACGACGGGCACCUCGGACUGAAAAUCAAGAUGAGGCUCACAAUGCAGUCCGUGUGGAUGAUGACGCGAUGGGUGAGGACGAAGACCUUGCAGCUGUUGAAUGGGACCCUUUGAACCCUCAUAUGGAAGAAGGCUUCGAUGAAAAUGUUGGUCAGCAGCCGGUUGCCUCAACAGAUGAUGAAAAUGAUGGUCAACAGCCGGUUGCAUCAGAUGAGGAUUUUGACGAGGUUCCAAAUGAUGAUGGUCAACAGCCGCAUGAUUUUGACGAUGAUCCAAAAUAUCCUCCAAAUAAUGAUUCAAGUGAGGCUCUAAAUGGUGAUCAUGGUGAUCCAAGUGAGGCUCCAAAUGAUGAUCCAAGUGAGGCUCCAAUUGGUGACCAACCUUCUGUUGUUGUGAGUUCUGCUAGGUUUGAAGAAGACGCGCAAGGUACCGACAACCAAGAGAAGAAGAGAAGAAACAAUGAGCACAAGGUGCACGAGGAGCAAAGUGAUGGCAAGAAGCUCAAGGAACAGACAGAAGCCCCAACGCUAUCUAUGAAUAAUUAUGAAACAUUAUGA